rnacentral:rRNA from 1 species
AGAUUAAGUUAUUAAGAGCGCACGGUGGAUGCCUUGGCACUAGAAGCCGACGAAGGACGUUACUAACGACGAUAUGCUUUGGGUAGCUGUAAGUAAGCGUUGAUCCAGAGAUUUCCGAAUGGGGGAACCCAGCACGAGUUAUGUCGUGUUAUCGACAAGUGAAUUCAUAGCUUGUCAGAAGGCAGACCCGGAGAACUGAAACAUCUUAGUACCCGGAGGAAGAGAAAGAAAAAUCGAUUCCCUGAGUAGCGGCGAGCGAAACGGGAAGAGCCCAAACCAAUAAGCUUGCUUAUUGGGGUUGUAGGACACUCUAUACGGAGUUACAAAGGAAUAUAUUAGACGAAUCAUCUGGAAAGUUGAAUCAAAGAAGGUAAUAAUCCUGUAGUUGAAAAUAUAUUCUCUCUUGAGUGGAUCCUGAGUACGACGGAGCACGUGAAAUUCCGUCGGAAUCUGGGAGGACCAUCUCCUAAGGCUAAAUACUCUCUAGUGACCGAUAGUGAACCAGUACCGUGAGGGAAAGGUGAAAAGUACCCCGGAAGGGGAGUGAAAGAGAACUUGAAACCGUGUGCUU